UGGGGAAUCUUGCACAAUGGGGGCAACCCUGAUGCAGCGACGCCGCGUGAGCGAUGAAGCCCUUCGGGGCGUAAAGCUCUUUCGACCGGAACGAUAAUGACGGUACCGGGAGAAGAAGCUGCGGCUAACUACGUGCCAGCAGCCGCGGUAAUACGUAGGCAGCAAGCGUUGUUCGGAGUUACUGGGCGUAAGGAGUGCGUAGGCGGUUUUCUAAGUUCGGUGUGAAAUCUCCCGGCUUAACUGGGAGGGUGCGCCGAAGACUGGGAAGCUGGAGUGUGGGAAAGGCAGGCGGAAUUCCUGGUGUAGCGGUGAAAUGCGUAGAUAUCAGGAGGAACACCGGUGGUGUAGACGGCUUGCUAGACCAUAACUGACGCUGAGGCACGAAAGCGUGGGUAGCAAACA
rnacentral:rRNA from 1 species